GAUGAACGCUGGCGGCGUGCCUAAUACAUGCAAGUCGAGCGAAUGGAUUAAGAGCUUGCUCUUAUGAAGUUAGCGGCGGACGGGUGAGUAACACGUGGGUAACCUGCCCAUAAGACUGGGAUAACUCCGGGAAACCGGGGCUAAUACCGGAUAACACUUUGAACCGCAUGUUUCGAAAUUGAAAGUCGGCUUCGGCUGUCACUUAUGGAUGGACCCGCGUCGCAUUAGCUAGUUGGUGAGGUAACGGCUCACCAAGACAACGAUGCGUAGCCGACCUGAGAGAGUGAUCGGCCACACUGGGACUGAGACACGGCCCAGACUCCUACGGGAGGCAGCAGUAGGGAAUCUUCCGCAAUGGACGAAAGUCUGACGGAGCAACGCCGCGUGAGUGAUGAAGGCUGUCGGGUCGUAAAACUCUGUUGUUAGGGAAGAACAAGUGCUAGUUGAAUGAGCUGGCACCUUGACGGUACCUAACCAGAAAGCCACGGCUAACUACGUGCCAGCCGCCGCGGUAA
rnacentral:rRNA from 1 species